ensembl:snRNA U1 U1 spliceosomal RNA
AUACUUACCUGGCAGGGGAGAUACCAUGAUCAUGAAGAUGGUUUUCCCAGGGCAAAGCUUAUCCAUUGCACUCCAGAUGUGCUGACCCCUACAAUUUCCCCAAAUGUGGGAGACUCGACUGCAUAAUUUGUGGUAGUGGGGGACUGCGUUCAGACCAAAAAUGUAGUACUUAU